AUUGAACGCUGGCGGCAGGCCUAACACAUGCAAGUCGAGCGGAUGAAGGGAGCUUGCUCCUGGAUUCAGCGGCGGACGGGUGAGUAAUGCCUAGGAAUCUGCCUGGUAGUGGGGGAUAACGUCCGGAAACGGGCGCUAAUACCGCAUACGUCCUGAGGGAGAAAGUGGGGGAUCUUCGGACCUCACGCUAUCAGAUGAGCCUAGGUCGGAUUAGCUAGUUGGUGGGGUAAAGGCCUACCAAGGCGACGAUCCAUAACUGGUCUGAGAGGAUGAUCAGUCACACUGGAACUGAGGCACGGUCCAGACUCCUACGGGAGGCAGCAGUGGGGAAUAUUGGACAAUGGGCGAAAGCCUGAUCCAGCCAUGCCGCGUGUGUGAAGAAGGUCUUCGGAUUGUAAAGCACUUUAAGUUGGGAGGAAGGGCAGUAAGUUAAUACCUUGCUGUUUUGACGUUACCAACAGAAUAAGCACCGGCUAACUUCGUG
rnacentral:rRNA from 1 species